rnacentral:rRNA from 1 species
UACGUAGGGUGCAAGCGUUGUCCGGAAUUAUUGGGCGUAAAGAGCUCGUAGGCGGUCUGUCGCGUCGGCUGUGAAAACCCGGGGCUCAACCCCGGGCCUGCAGUCGAUACGGGCAGACUAGAGUGCGGUAGGGGAGACUGGAAUUCCUGGUGUAGCGGUGAAAUGCGCAGAGAUCGGGAGGAACACCAGUGGCGAAGGCGGCUACCUGGACCAGCACUGACACUGAGGCACGAAAGCGUGGGGAGCAAACAGGG